rnacentral:siRNA from 1 species
UCAUUGACUUUCAGUAAAUGCC